rnacentral:rRNA from 1 species
GAUGAACGCUGGCGGCGUGCCUAAUACAUGCAAGUCGAGCGAACGGACGAGAAGCUUGCUUCUCUGAUGUUAGCGGCGGACGGGUGAGUAACACGUGGAUAACCUACCUAUAAGACUGGGAUAACUUCGGGAAACCGGAGCUAAUACCGGAUAAUAUUUUGAACCGCAUGGUUCAAAAGUGAAAGACGGUCUUGCUGUCACUUAUAGAUGGAUCCGCGCUGCAUUAGCUAGUUGGUAAGGUAACGGCUUACCAAGGCAACGAUGCAUAGCCGACCUGAGAGGGUGAUAGGCCACACGGGAACUGAGACACGGUCCAGACUCCUACGGGAGGCAGCAGUAGGGAAUCUGCCGCAAUGGGCGAAAGCCUGACGGAGCAACGCCGCGUGAGUGAUGAAGGUCUUCGGAUCGUAAAACUCUGUUAUUAGGGAAGAACAUAUGUGUAAGUAACUGUGCACAUCUUGACGGUACCUAAUCAGAAAGCCACGGCUAACUACGUG